AUCACUUCUCAGCCUUUUGGCUAAGAUCAAGUGUAGUAUCUGUUCUUAUCAGUGAGGGAUAGUCUUCACUGGUCUUGUUGCAAUAUUCUGAGACUUUCUCUGACCUUGUAUGGAUAUACCUACUCCACACUUCUUGCUCCCUCUUGUGGCAGAAUUCUUGUAUGUCUUCUCUCAAUCUUAAGAUGCACCAGGCUGGCAGC
rnacentral:snRNA from 1 species